GAUGUCUCCAUGAUUUUCAUGUAACUCCUCUAGGGAAAGGUGAUUUCAGCUUUACUCAUUUCCGCUUAUUUUCAGAAAAACCUAAACUUUUGAUGAUGUCGAGGAUUAUGAAUCAUGACACCCAUGAACGACAUUUCAGAGAGAUUUAAUUAUAUUGUUACUUUGAAGAAAACCACGCAGAACCGUAUUUAGAGAAAUGUCUUUCUGGGUUGAGAAUAAGAGGCUACUGAAUUAGAAAAAAAAAAAAGAAAGAAACUAACUCUAAGAGUUUUAAAAUGGAGCAGAACUCCAUGAGGACUAGAAGAAUCUGCUCCAAGAAUAAAGCUGCUCAGAAAAGGGAAAACCAGGGUUUCCCUCGGACUUCUACAUGCCCAUGCUACACAUAUCCUGUGGCCUCCAGAGCGCUGGCAGAAAUUGGAAUCUGUUCUUCCUCCAGAGCGCUUGCUAGUUCAGAGAGAAGAGGAAUAAUGGCAUGAAACUCCCUCAGCUGCUGGCAUUGGCAGGCCAAAACCAUCCAUUACAGAAGGGAUGGAGAGGAGGAACCUUCAGAAGGGCAACGUUUGUUUCAAAUGAAAUGAUCUGCAUUAUUAAAGAAAAAGUGUUAAAAUAUUAUAUAGUAUUAAAUAGCAACUGAUUUUGUGUUUAAUUGUAAUACUCUAUUGCUCAAUGCCAAAAAAUACAGACCUUUGGGAAUAGGAAAACUUUAUUCCCAUGUCUUACAGGGAAAUUGUUAUGUGUACUUAGUCUCUCGAUUGUUGGGUUUUAAUUUUGGUGCUUGCUGCUGAGAGAAUAUGAAAAUUAAUAUUUGAUGAAAGUAAUUCAGUAAUGUCAUUUACUCUUUAGAACAUGAAGAAACAUACAGUGAUGGAAAUUAUAUUGUAAUUGACAGUAUGUACGAGGCAGUGACUGCUGGCUAAGAAGAACAGUAAACUGUGAUAUAAAAAUAAAACUGAUUUGCUCAGGUACUGUUUUGGGUAUUAAUCAUUUAACCUGUACCUCCCUUACUGAGGAAUAUUUUUUUUUUUUUUUGGAAGCAAGGAAUUAAAGUAAGGAGAACCAAUUCUAUCAAUAUUUCCAUACAAUUAAAGCUUUCUUAUUAGCCCUUUUAAAUAAAAACUUCUGAGUGAUCUCUUGCCUGUUCACAUCCAUGAAUAAACCUAUUCAUCAGUAUUCAGUCACUAUGUGGUAAAAUGUUCUGAGUGAAAUAAAAAAAAUAUUCCUGUUUGACCAACUUUUUUUCCUCCCAAUGAUUUUCAGUGUUUAUCUCUGUAAAUACUGAAAUCACCAAUUGCAAAGUGGGAUGAUAACGGCAUCAUAGAUCCUCUAACUGCAGAGGUAAGGCAGUAAAUCCCUUCAUACGAGUCUAUAUUCAUUCUUGCAAAUGUGGAUGCAAGUUUCCUUAGUGGUCAGGAAUGCAAAGAGUAAGGGUA
rnacentral:lncRNA from 1 species